GGAAAGACAGAGGCUUUGUUAGAGCCGGCAGCUGAGGGCCGAGGCCGAGCAGGGGUUAGGCCAGCACAGGACGAAAAGGAAGAAAGUUCCAGGUGGAGUCUGGUGGAGAAAGACCGACCUGGAAGGCACCAGCAUGUGCACGUGGCAACUGAGGUCGAGGACGUGCCUGAGAGAGAGGAGGAAGGUGCCCUGCGGACCGGGUAGGGUGCGGAGGUCGGGAAUGGAGAACGGUCGUUGGGCAGGUCCGGGUACCCGUAGCCAGAACCACCCGGGUGUGCGCAGCUCGGCCAGGCCCCGCCUCCCGGCGUCCCCGCCCCCUGCUGGGCCUCUCUCCGCAGCCGCGAGACCCGCGCUUGGCGCAUAGGCCGGUUCUAAUUUACAAGAACACCGCGGCCUGAGGCCGGAGAGUCCCUUCAACCCGGGAGGCGGCGGCUGCAGGGAGCCGAGACGGCGCCAUUGCCCUCCAGCCUGGGCAAAAAGAGCGAAACUCCGUCUCAAAAAAAAAAAAACAUGGCCGAAACCAGGAAGCUGCGCGAUGGCGCCACGGCCCCUCUUCUCCCGGCCUGUGUCCGGAAGGUUUCCCUCCGAGGCGCCCCGGCUCCCGCAAGCGGAGGAGAGGGCGGGACGUGCCGGGGCCGGAGCUCAGAGGCCCUGGGGCCGCUCUGCUCUCCCGCCAUCGCAAGGGCGGCGCUGACCUGAGGCCUCCCCGCAAAGGUCCCCGAGGCGGCGGCGGCGGCGGGCUGUGAGAACCGCAGAAGAACGCUGGGCGCGCAGCGACCCGUCCACCCCCGCGAGGAGAGACUUCCACAGAGGCAGCGUUUCCACAGCCCAAAGCCACGUUUCUAGGGUGAUGCAGCCCCAGUAAGUUCCUGGCGGGGAAGCUCACGGCUGUCAAAAGAACUCUUCGCUCCAGCCGGCGCACGAAGGGGAGGAGGGCAGGAGGCUGCCGCCCGCACAGGUCAUCUGAUCACGUCGCCCGCCCUAGUCUGCUUUUGUGAAUCUCCACUUUGUUCAACCCCCACCCGCCGUCUCUCCCUCCCUGCGCCUUCCCUCUAACCUUAAAGACCCAGCUACCUCUACGCAAAUGGUAGCUACCUCUGCGCAGGUGGAAGUUGAGUUCGGUUCACGCGGGACCCUCUUCCCUGUGGCAAGCUGCUGAAGGAGACCUGCUGUUACUGCUUUAGCUGCUGUUCUGCUUAAUCUCAGACAGCUGGAAGGUAGUAUUCCGCCCUCGCCCAGCCACCCGAGUAAAUGAGAAUGAUGACUGACUGAGACCCUGAUGGUGGUGGCUUAGGCUUAAUCUCAGACAGCUGGAAGGUAGUAUUCCGCCCUCACCCAGCCACCCGAGUAAAUGAGAAUGAUGACUGACUGAGACCCUGAUGGUGGUGGCUUAGGCAAGAUGAACGUCUGAAAUGGAGGCCCAGGGCUGCCACGAUGGCUCUGUAGUCAUCAGGGAGGGAGCUCCUUUUAUCUUGUUACCUACUCCCCUCUUGUGCCCCUUUCUUCCCUUGAUCUAAGAAGGUUGCUCCGGAUCUCGCCAUCUGGCCUGCGUUCAAUCAGCAGAAGCUUCCUGGAGGAGCAGGAGGAGGCACUGUGCUCGCAUCACAUACCAGUGGCCAGAAGUUGGCUUCAGGGAAGCUCAGGAAAUAGGAUGCGAGAAGCCAUGAGACCUCCCCAAACUCUGCAGUAACAGAGUCAACAAGACAAUGGCUUAAAGAUGGAGAGACCAGUUGAUCGGUCACACAAGCUGUUCCACGAUAAUUCUUGUGUCAGAAGGGGAGGCUGACUACCAGGACCACUGGCCCCACUUCCAGCCCCUCCAUUCUGAGUACACUUCAGAGGGCUCUGGCAGGCACGUGCCCAGCUUCCUUUCAAGUCUCUGGCCAAUGCAAUGUGAGCAGAAGUGAAGGGGCAACUUUCAGGUGAUGACUUGGAAAAGAAAGCUUAGUCCUCUGCUUCUCCUGUCACCCGAAAGAGAAACAGAGGCUUGUCUUGUUGAAGCCAGUGUGUUUGGUGUCUUUUUGUAUAGUGGCUUAGACAGUGGCCUAACUAGAAGACCAAGGCUCAAAGGAACACAUUUUGAGCUUCUCCACAGUUUGAGAACCUCUACAUUACCUACACCAAGCCUUCCCCAGCACUCAAUUUAUGGAAGACCAUUUCUCUUCUCAUGACACAUGUCCUCAUGUUGCUUUGGCCUGUUUUAAAGCUUUCUCAACUCCAUCUCAAUAAAGAAAUCUGCAGCUUUGUUGGAUGAGAGGAUCUAAAAAGUUCGUUCUUCCAAUCGGUUGUAAAUAUAGACACUAAUUUAUAAACUGACACAGGAACACACAGCAAAUUAGUAGAAAAUCCGAUUCCUGUUCCCUUUUCUCCUUGCAUUGUUUCCUGCCAAUGCUCACCAUUUCUUUAUCCUUUCCACUCUUCCUUGCUCCUCCUUCCCUUUAAUUUUUCUCUGUUGUGCCUAAAUAAGCUGUCCAUGCAUGGCACUCCAUGGGCUCUGAUAACAGACUCAACAAGACAAUGACUUAAAGAUGGAGUGACCAGCUGAUCAGUCACACAAGUUGUUCCAGUGUAAUUAUUUUCACAGGUGUCUCAGUUUGGAUGAUAAAUUAUAUGAACACUCUACUUACAGAACAAAGACCUUUAUUUAUGUCUCUCUUGCUUCAAAGUCCAAGGUGAGCAUGCCUGCCUGGCAGCUCUGCCUCAAUUCCUUUUAAAUCAUUCCUUUGUCAUACUUCAGCACACUGCUGUCAUCUGUAUGGUUGAGCUGGACUGCUGCCAUGUUGAGUCACCAGUGACUUUUUGAUUCUUUAAUUCCCAGUUUGACUGGCAUUCCUCUGUGUGUGUGUAUUUAGUUCUAUGCAGUUUUAUCACAUGUGUAGGCUUGUGUAACCACUGCCACAGCCAAGAUACAGAACAGCCAA
rnacentral:lncRNA from 10 species